rnacentral:misc_RNA from 1 species
UUUUUUUUUUUUUUUUUUUUUUAGCAUUUCGAAGAAGUAAUUGAUUGAGCAGUUGACAGAUCAUCCAAGGAAAGGAGUUCUAUAAAAACUUUUUUCAGAUUUCACAACGAAAAGGAUUAGUAAACCAGCAAACCCUGCCGAUUUUUAACCUUUGAAUCAUGAUAUGAAAUGAGUCAAGUCAAUAAGGUAUAGCAUAAAUCCAAUUUCUAAAAUAAUAAAAAAAAUACUAAAUUAAGAUUAAAAGCACGAAGCAAGAAAAUAUCUUAGUAUGCAUAGUAUCUCAUUGGAGAAUCACUAUGUCUAUCUUAUUUCUCAUAGAAAAUUCACUUAAUUUAAUCACUUUAAUUUAAUCACUUUUAAUAUUUGAUAUUUAAUAAAAGAACUACUUUCUUUUCUCUCUUUUCUCUUUGAAUUUGAACAGGAAAGAGGCAAACAAAAAAAAAAAAAGGGGGGGUUCG